ensembl:snoRNA
AAGCAACACUCUGUGGUAGAUCACUUAGUUGUCUGUCUCAAUUUAAGCUUGCAAUACUAAACAUAGCCUGACCUAUUCCAGUGGUCUUUAAAAAUGAGGCCAUCUGUUAUACAGACUGUAACAAU